rnacentral:rRNA from 1 species
UACGUAGGCAGCGAGCGUUGUUCGGAAUUACUGGGCGUAAAGCGCGUGUAGGCGGCCAUCUAAGUCGGGCGUGAAAUCCCACGGCUCAACCGUGGAAGUGCACUCGAAACUGGAUGGCUAGAGUCCUGGGGAGGAAGGUGGAAUGCUUGGUGUAGAGGUGAAAUUCGUAGAUAUCAAGCGGAACACCGGUGGCGAAGGCGGCCUUCUGGACAGUGACUGACGCUGAGACGCGAAAGCGUGGGGAGCAAACAGG